rnacentral:rRNA from 1 species
CUUUUCGAGAGUUUGAUCCUGGCUCAGGAUGAACGCUGGCGGCGUGUCUAAGGCAUGCAAGUCGUAUGCCGGAUAUCGGAUAUCGGAUAUCAGAAAUCGGAUUUCAGAUUAUGCGUAUAAAACGCAAAUUUGAUAUCCGAAAUCUGACAUCUGACAUCUGAUAUCUGGCAUGGCAAACGGGAGAGUAACACAUUGGUAACCUACCCUGAAGAGGGGCAUAAUCCGCUGAAAAGCGGGCUAAUUCCCUAUGUGAUUUAAUAAUACUUUUGUUAAAUUAAACCUGUUCAGCUUUUUAAAUAUUAACUAUUUUUUAUUAAAGAGUUAACGUGUUAACGAGUUUUUGAAAAAAUUAACUCGUUAAUAAAUAACCCGUUAAUAAAAUAAUAAUUUAAUAUUCAAAAAGUUGAACAGGGCUUCAGGAGGGGCCUAUGGCCUAUCAGCUUGUUGGUGAGGUAAAAGCUCACCAAGGCUUCGACGGGUAGCGGGUGUGAGAGCAUGACCCGUCUCACUGGGACUGAGACACUGCCCAGACUCCUACGGGAGGCUGCAGUCAAGAAUCUUCCUCAAUGGCCGAAAGGCUGAAGGAGCGACGCCGCGUGAUCGAAGAAGCCCUUCGGGGUGUAAAGAUCUUUUGUUAGGGAAUAAGCCCCUCCCCAGUUUUUGCAACUGUAGUUGCAAAAACUGGGGAGGGGUUGAAGGUACCUAGCGAAUAAGGGGCUGCUAAACUCGUGCCAGCAGCAGCGGUAAUACGAGUGCCCCGAGCGUUAUCCGAAUUUAUUGGGCGUAAAGCGUCCGCAGGCGGUUUAUCACAUCUUCUGUUAAAUCUUCCCGCUUAACGGGAAAACCGCGGAAGAGAUGGAUAAACUAGAGACUGGGAGAGGUAAGCGGAAUUGCUGGUGUAGGGGUUAAAUCCGUUAAUAUCAGCAGGAACACCAAAUGCGAAGGCAGCUUACUGGAACAGUUCUGACGCUCAUGGACGAAAGCGUGGGGAGAGAAUGGGAUUAGAUACCCCAGUAUUCCACGCCGUAAACGAUGGAUGCUAAACAUUGGAAGUUAUCGACCCUUUCAGUGUUGCUUAUCUAAGGUAACCCGUUAAGCAUCCCGCCUGGGGAGUACGAGCGCAAGCUUAAAACUCAAAGGAAUAGACGGGGACCCGCACAAGCGGUGGAGCAUGUGGUUUAAUUUGAUAGUAAGCAAGGAACCUCACCAAGGCUUGACAUCUAGCUGCAUACCCUGGAAACAGGGAGUCCUUCGAGGGCGCUAGACAGGUGCUGCAUGGUUGUCGUCAGCUCGUGUCGUGAGAUGUACCGUUAAGUCGGAAAACGAGCGCAACCCCUAUUGUAAGUUUUAUAUGUCUUACAAAACUGCCUGCUUUAAGCAGGAGGAAGGUGGGGAUGACGUCAAAUCAGCAUGGUUUUUACGCCUUGGGCGACACACGUGCUACAAUGGAAAAUACAAUGGGACGCCAAACCGCAAGGUGGAGCAAAUCCUUUAAAAUUUUUCUCAGUUCGGAUUGGGGUCUGCAACUCGACCCCAUGAAGCUGGAAUCGCUAGUAAUCACGGAUCAGCCACGCCGUGGUGAAUACGUUACCGGGUCUUGUACUCACCGCCCGACAAGUCAAGGGAGUUGGCAGUACCCGAAGAUCGGAUUUCAGAUUUCGGAUUUCGGAUCUCGGAUUUCAGAUAUCAGAUUUUAGAUAUCAGAUUUGCGUUAUAUGUGCAUAAUCUGAAAUCUGACAUCCGACAUCUGACAUCUGACAUCCGACAUCCGACAUCCGAUAUCCGAUCUAAGGUAAGGCCGGCAACAAGGACUAAGUCGUAACAAGGCAUCCGUAGCGGAAGCUGUGGAUGAAUCACUUCCUUU